rnacentral:piRNA from 1 species
UAUAUUGUCUCCAGCAAAAGGUGUAGCC